CUGUCAUCUCCUCAAAUGUUGAUCUUAUUCACUGAAGCAAGCUGACUCCCCAAUACCAUGUACAUACUGAACCCAGAAGAGGGGAGAAAAGAAGGAAGGAUUGUGCAUAGGAGUUCCUUUUGAAGAAGUGACAUGGAGAUUGAGAGCUGUACUAGCCUGGCAUGCAGACAGCAGCUUUAGAAUCAGAUCUGCCUUCUGGCGGCUUCCCACCUAGGAGCCAUGGGACCUUUGUGAAGUCACCAAUUGUGCUGUGGAUGCUUCAUUUGUGAAGGAGAACAGGACUGCCUUAUGAGGAAACUGAGGUACAGAUGGGAAACUUGCUCAAGUUCACACAGCAAUUAAGUGAUCAAGUCCAAGAGCAAAACCAGGCAGGCUGGCUCCAGAGCUCACGAUAGCCCACCACUGCUUUCCACCAUCACUACGGAAUCAAGUCCAUGAGGAUACUUACCUUAUGUCAGUUGCCUAAGUUGGAAAUUAUAGAAUCUUCAAAUUGGAAGGGACGUUAUCAUGCAAGAUUUCAACUUUCUACUCACUGCAAAAUCCCUUCUGG
rnacentral:lncRNA from 1 species